GUCCCUGUAGCGCAAUGGAUAGCGCGUUGGACUUCUAAUCCAAAGGUCGAAGGUUUCUAAUUACACCUGGGAUG